rnacentral:tRNA from 1 species
GUCAGGAUGGCCGAGUGGUCUAAGGCGCUGCGUUAAGGUCGCAGUCUCCCCUGGAGGCGUGGGUUCAAAUCCCACUUUUGACA